CAAUAGCGUAUAUUUAAGUUGUUGCAGUUAAAAAGCUCGUAGUUGGAUUUCGGAUGGGACUUGCCGGUCCGUCGUUUCGAUGUGCACUGGCCAGUCCUAUCUUUUUGUCGGGGACUAGCUCCUGGGCUUCACUGUCCGGGACUAGGAGCUGACGAGGUUACUUUGAGUAAAUUAGAGUGUUCAAAGCAAGCCUACGCUCUGAAUACAUUAGCAUGGAAUAACACGAUAGGACUCUGGCUUAUCUUGUUGGUCUGUGAGACCAGAGUAAUGAUUAAGAGGGACAGUCGGGGGCAUUCGUAUUUCAUUGUCAGAGGUGAAAUUCUUGGAUUUAUGAAAGACGAACUUCUGCGAAAGCAUUUGUCAAGGAUGUUUNCAUUAA
rnacentral:rRNA from 1 species